CUACAUCUAUGUUUUCCUUAUUCGUUUAUGUUUAUGAUUUAUAAUCUUUCCUAUUCUUGUAUUUUCAUUUAUCUCUCUUGUAACCCUUAUAUAAAGGGAACACUUAUUCAUUAAUAAUAUAGAGAGAAACUUACAGUUCUAAAUCCUAAGUUUCACAACACGUUAUCAGCACGAUAGCCUCUAAACUAUCAGCACGAUAGCCUCUAAACACC
rnacentral:lncRNA from 1 species